GACGAACGCUGGCGGCGUGCUUAACACAUGCAAUUCGAACGUAAAGGCCCUGCUUUUGUGGGUUGCUCGAGUGGCGAACGGGUGAGUAACACGUGAGUAACUUGCCCUUGACUUUGGGAUAACUUCAGGAAACUUGGGCUAAUACCGGUUAGGAGCUCCUUUUGCAUGGUUGUGGUUGGAAAGUUUCGGCGGUUGGGUAUGGACUCGCGGCUUAUCAGCUUGUUGGUGGGGUAGUGGCUUACCAAGGCUUUGACGGGUAGCCGGCCUGAGAGGGUGACCGGCCACAUUGGGACUGAGAUACGGCCAAGACUCCUACGGGAGGCAGCAGUGGGGAAUAUUGCACGAUGGGCGGAAGCCUGAUGCAGCAACGCCGCGUGCGGGAUGACGGCCUUCGGGUUGUAAACCGCUUUCGCCUGUGACGAAGAGUGAGUGACGGUAAUGGGUAAAGAAGCAACGGCUAACUACGUG
rnacentral:rRNA from 1 species